rnacentral:rRNA from 1 species
UACGUAGGGGGCGAGCGUUGUCCGGAUUUAUUGGGCGUAAAGAGCUCGUAGGCGGCUUGGCAAGUCGGGUGUGAAACCUCCAGGCUCAACCUGGAGACGCCACUCGAUACUGCCAUGGCUAGAGUCCGGUAGGGGACCACGGAAUUCCUGGUGUAGCGGUGAAAUGCGCAGAUAUCAGGAGGAACACCGGUGGCGAAGGCGGUGGUCUGGGCCGGCACUGACGCUGAGGUGCGAAAGCGUGGGGAGCAAACAGG